rnacentral:rRNA from 1 species
GUUGUCCGGAAUUAUUGGGCGUAAAGAGCUCGUAGGCGGUUUGUCGCGUCUGCUGUGAAAUCCCGAGGCUCAACCUCGGGCCUGCAGUGGGUACGGGCAGACUGGAGUGCGGUAGGGGAGAAUGGAAUUCCCGGUGUAGCGGUGAAAUGCGCAGAUAUCGGGAGGAACACCUAUGGCGAAGGCAGCUCGCUGGGACGUUACUGACGCUGAGACGCGAAAGCGUGGGGAGCAAACAGG